rnacentral:sRNA from 1 species
GGUGCGGGCGGGGCUGCGGGAGACGCAGCAGUUGACGCUCUGCCCACGCGUUGGGGCACUAGGGCAACCGCUCUUGUGGGCAGAAGGCCGCGGCCAUUCCAGGAAGAGGAUUUUCUCCGGGAAUUAACAUCUGAUUCUGCAGCCGAUGAAGGACGACACUGGUGAGAACCCUAUGAGGGAGUGGAGCAGCCUGGACUUUUACCACAAGAGGGAAGUGUUAUAAGAGCAAUGCAGAGGUUGGAGUGGGCAGCAGUUGGGGCAGGAGGAAGCCGACUGCUGCCUGGUCUGCAAAGAAGUCCUUUCAAGUCUCUAGGACUGGACUCUUCCUGAGCAAGUCCGACCAGGCUUUUGAAAAAGAGUCUCCACUCGGCUCCACUUCCUGCCCUCCAAUUCAUGCAGCAGCCCACUGAAGAUUGAAGAGCACCAGUGCCCUCCUAUUACUCAGCAGACCUCCUGGUUGCAUUGCUGAUCCUCAUUAAGCCCCCCUUCCCUUGGCUUCCAUCAGCUUGCUUUUUCCUACUUCUCUGGCUCAUU